rnacentral:misc_RNA from 1 species
GGGCAACAAUUGGGCCUUUAUUAUCAAUUAUAAAGGCAAGAAAAAAUAUUGAAUGAAUACAAUGUGUUCUUCAUGCCAAUAGUCUUCUUCCUUAGAGAUAAUGUAUGCCAUUUUAGCAUCCAUUUUGGGUGACGCCACAUCGGUGUUCCUGGCUUUCUGCUUCUUCUUUUGCGACAUAUCAGUGCUCCACUGCUCUUGUUUUCUACUUCUUCUUCAGUUUGUUGCAAGUGGGUUUUGAAAGUUGAGAUUUUGAUUUUUAUUAUGGUCUAGGUUCUGCCCUUCGUGCGUCCAUGGCUCUAUGCGACUGCAAGUCCUUCCAUUUAGGUUUGCGAUUCCAAGGGAAACCAUGGUGAUUGGUGUAUGUGAAAUUGUGAAAUUGCAAAAUUGUGAUGGUGAUCGAUUUUCAUUUUCAUAAUAAUCCGGUAAAUUUCUUGUUUCUGAAACUGUGAAUUUGAGAAUAAAUCUGCCGAUUUGAAAUUCUUGUUCUUCCUCUUUAUGAUUACAGUAUUUGUUUGUGUGAAUUUGUGCAUUAAUAUUGCGAUGGUGAUUGGUGAAUGUGAAAUUGCGAUGGUGACCAAUUAUUUUGCUGUGAGAUUGAGAUUGAAUGGUGGAGAUUUAUUUUCGAUUUCUGCUUUAAUGUGUUAAAUUUUUUCAUUAAAUUUGUUAUUAUUCUUUAUUUUAUUGUGGGAUUGAGAAAGAAUGGUGGCUGGAAGCUUGGAUAUUGCGACAGUGGAUUGGGAAGCCGAGAAUGGAGCAGAGUAAGAUGGAAUGUAAGCGAUCAGUAGUUAGAUGAGUCCACUCGUCUGUGAAGAUGGGCAAAAGGAUCUCUCAACAUGUGUUUGAGAAGGGCAAAAUUAGAAAAAUAAAAUAUUCAUGUUUUGAAUUGGAACUGUUUCCCUGAACAGUAAAUCGGAUUCUCCUUUAAUGUAUAGUAAUAUAUAAUAUUAAUGUUUCGUCCUCAAAUUAUAUUCUUUCUAGUUUCUAAAUAUUAUUUUCACAAACAUAGGCCAAUCACUGGCGUUU